CGCCCGGUGACUGCGGACGGAUGAAUAGACGCUGCGGGUCACUGCGCUCUCCCCUGGGUAGAACAGAUGGUUUGAAAAGGAAAGAUUUUUUUUUCACAUAUGGGGAAAAAAAAUUCCCAGCCUUGGAAGGAUAUUUGGGUUAGAGGCCGAAGUGCAUCACAGAUCACGCACGCGUCCACACCUCAGAAAACACUCACUCAUUCCUGAGACGCAACGGUGAGUGAAGGCUUAUUUUUGGCCACAGGAGAUUAAUAAUGAAGACAGGAGGGCGGAGCUAAAGGAGAGGGUAUUUUAACGACAUUAACUGUGUUUUUGUGUUAGUAACUCGGAAAGAGAGAGGCUGCCCCAAGUCAGCGCAUUGAAAGCCGCAGACCUAGUGUCUCCAGGCUCCCCCUUCCAAACGGGCGCGGACCUUCUUUCAUAGCCUGUAGCGGGGAGCCGCGUCUCCCCACUGCCUCCCCACUCCCAUCCGGCCGCUCUUUGGAGGGAACUCACACAUCCCAACAUGACGAUGCUUGCUCGGGGGGCCUCCUGGGGGGACCAGGGAGCCACUUCCUUUCCCACAUACUCCGGAAAUUAAAGUUGGUCUCCUUAAGGCUGGAGUGGCAAAUAGUUGUUUUAAGCUUGUCACAAAUGUAACUUACAUUUGGACUAAUGUUUUAAAAAAUAAUUGGAGUUUUGAAUCUACGAAGAUACCUUGGAAGUAAACAUAGUUAUUAUUUUGGUGGGAAAAAAAUGAAUGGACUUGAAAGUGAGUCACCUGUCCUGUUCCCGGGGCUCAGCUCUAGCAAAGUACCUUUCUCCAUCUACAGUCUCCGGCACACAGCUCCGCAGCUGGGGGUGACUAAGAGCCCACACCACGCAAGUAAUAAAACGCUCCAAUUUCAUUUAUUUAAUCAUCUGUGUGCUUCAUUUGACAAAUAUUUAUGGAGUGUCUGCUGCUAGCUCAGUGCCUGGUGCCUGGGACUGAAGACCAGAGCCCCCUGGAGACCAAAAGAGCCAGCUCCCAGCUGUGAGCAGAUCGGGUCCAAAGAUCACGGGCUCGGCGGCAGGAACCUGGUUUGGUAUCCGGCUCCUCUGCGGACUUUGAAGUGCUUUACCGAUUCACAUGACAACUGGUAAAACGAAAACAAACACCUUUCCAGGAAUUGUGAAUUCGAGUUCCAGACCCUCUGGGAUUCCGGGAGCGCAGCUGCUAUUUAUGUUAACAGUCAUUGGUCCCAGGCUGGUGAGGUUAGAAUUUCCAAGUAUAAAAGUAAUUUAGUUUCGUUUUAAAUACAUUUUAGGGCCAAAGAAAAGUGGAACGAUUUAAAGAAAAAGAUGAAAUGAAUAAUAGGGCAAGUUGGGAGGUGGCUGUCCUGAGGUUUCAUGGGACAACAUUAAUUAACCUCAUGAAGUGCCUGCAUGGACAACGUGCCCGGUGUGGUUACAAACAAACCAAUCAGCACAGAUCCUGGGUGGAAAGCAGGGCGCAGCCACGGAGGCACAGUAGGGGUGCAGACUUGAAGGUUUUUAGGAGGUAAGCCCCGAGGGCACGAAGCUCCACGGAGAGACUGUUGACCCGCCUGGGAGUGCAGUGCAGGGUGGAUGAGAGUGGGACACCUGCCAGUUGUUUGCAUCAGCAGACACUCAGAGUCCAUGGAAAAAAUGAGCCUAGAGGUUUUUAAACCACAACACAAGCAAAAGGCACCUGGUCCCGUUCCUCUUAAGACAGAAGAAAGAGGCGUAAAACCAGCUCCAGGUGCCACCCUUAAGAAAUGUUACAGUGCCGGAUGGGAAGAGUAAACCCUGAACAUCUCUUCUUAAUACUUUACAGACUUCAAGUGUAUUUUAUGGUGACAAAGCAUAUUGAAGACAAAUGAAACUCUACAACCCUGAAAACCAGCCUGAAUUAUUUUGAGAGACAGACAGUGGCUGCAAGGAGAAGCGUCGGGAUUUUCUGGGCUGGCCAUCUCCAGUGUCACUGACCCCGGUCUACCCCUGCAUGUUUGUUUACGGGAAAGGAGUUGAGGAGGAGGAUGUAUGGCUGAGAGCCUGAAAAUAAUCCAGGGCAGGUGGAGCGAGGAGAGGACUUUACUCCUCACACUCAUGUAGGCAUCCUGAAAAGCCACUUUUCUUUCCAAGGUGGGCACGGGCCUUGAGCUUGGAGUGGAGCCAGUUAAAGUUGUCCGCUCUGGGUCGUCAGAUGGAGAUCUUAUCUUGGGUCAUGAAUUGUGGUUUUAGGAGAAAGGCAGAAGCUAAACCCAUCUUCUGUCUGGUGGGGAGGCCCAGCAAAGGGCUCAGAAACACAGCCACAGGCCUCUUGCAGCAGCUGGAUGCACAUUUCAGGAGGUUGCCUGAAAGCAGAAUUGACUUCAGAGAGUAGGGCAGCAGAGCCCAGCCACAGAGUGGUCCCAGGAGCCAGGAAGUGCCACACAGCCCCUCGCUUAUUUUUACUCAGUAUGCCACAGAAGUCCUGACCUGUUAAAAGUGCCCUUUAAGAAUGGCUGGCCCACCCUCUCUCAGAGGGUUCAUGCUGGGGAGAGGGUUCCUGCAUGCCCGCUAAGCUCCAAAUGACAACCCAGGUGUAGAAAGGGCUUAGACUUUAGGGUUCAAACCCAUCCUAGAGUCCGGUCCAAGGCCAGUUACAGCCAAUGGGCAGUGGUAGGUGCAGCCCAGCCCAUUAGCUCAUUCUUGAGCCUCAGAGGGACAGAGCAGCACUAAUGGGUGCACAAAUGGCUAGAAUGUUCACCAACUCCUCGAGAGUGGCAUUGGACAUUUGGGCAAGGGUCUUAUGGAGGCUGAGAGUUGACUGUGGGCUCAUCACAGCUAUUUUGAGGGUCUUGACAGCCCAACUAGCAAACAAUUCUGCAGGGAUGAGAGGUCAGGGCAAAGGGAAAUGGCAUUGUCAAGUGGACAGCCAAAAAGUCCAGGAUGCCCCCAGGUCCUGGGGAACGGCGGGGGAGGAACUCAGGGACUGGAUUACCCACAGGACCUGGUGAGACCCACAGCCACGGGCUGACUUGUGUCCACUCAGAAGCGUAUGUUAAAAUCCUAACCCCCAGUACUUUGGAAUGUGACCUUAUUUGGAAAUAGAGACUUUGAAGAUGAUCAAGUUAAGAUGAAGUCAUGGGGCCGAGAGCGGUGGCUCACGCCCGUAAUCGCAGCACUUCGGGAGGCUGAGGCGGGCAGAUCACGAGGUCAGGAGAUGGGUUUCGUCCAUGCAGCUAGAGGCCUGAAAAGAAGGAAAAGCUGAUCAUCCUCGUGUAAGAGAGAAUCUCUCCUACCCAACGGCCUUCCAGCUGGGAUACUGGCUUUUUCUUGCCUUUAGACUUGAACUGAACAAUUGGCUCUUCCUGGCCUCAGGCUUUGGGACUCAGAAGCACACAUUGACUGUCCUGGGGCUCCAGCUUAUGGACUACCCUGCAGAAAGACUGUGGGACUCGUCAGCCAUCAUCAUCCUGUGAGCCAGUUUUACACAGACACACACACACACAGUCGCACUCUCAUGCUCACACAUACACACUCACACACAAUCACACACUUGCACACACACAGACACUCUUACACACUCAUUCACACACUCACAUGUGCACACACACAGUCUCUCACACACAUCACACACACACACACACACACACACACACACACACACUAUUGGUUCUGUUUCUCUGUAUAACCCUGAUGAAUUCAGGAUCUUAAAGGUUACCUAUUUCAUUGUAAUGCUGUUUUCUAGCACCAGGCUAGUCCUUUUGUCGGCAGAACUGGUAGGCUCACUUUUUUUUUUUUCAGACUGUUUUGUGUUUUAUUUUCUUCCAUUUACAAAAAAGCAUUUCUAAGCCAGGGCAGUGAAGCCUGACGCUACCGUUCACGGUCAGUGAAAUGAGCAUUCGAGGAUGGGACUCAGCCUGUCUGGACAGGUCCCCAGACAAAAAACACAGAGAAUCAAGAACGCAGGCGCUCCCUGUCGGACGCCAGGCCGGGCCCUGUGACAAGGAUCUCAGCGCUGGCGGUGGGGCUGCCCUGCGGGUUCGAGGCCUGGCUCUUCCUGCCCCACUGCCUGGUGUGUAGCCCAGGGGCCGGGCCGCCUGCGCCCCCCGCCGGGGGGCACGCCCGGCCCAGGGUUGGGGGUGUCCGGCUUGCCCCCAGGGGGCCAGCGGGGCCUCUGUUAUCUCGCUCCAGAACCGACAUCGCCAGCCAAGACCUUCCUCGUGGAGCCCUCGGUCUGGCCAAGGACGCUCCUUGGAGUCUGCUUAGACGCACAGCGGGCUCAGCUUUGCCAAAUUCUCCAAGGAGACUUUCCAUGAGGCGCCUCCUGCCAUCUGUGGGCGGCGUUGGGAACUGCGGCCACCGCUGCUUGGGAAUCAGGACGUCCCAGCUCCCAACCGGCGGUCAUUCAUUCCCUCAACACACACUCUGGGCCGCCCGCCUGGCUCCAGGCAGGCCCUCCGGGGACUCGGGAAAUAGGAGUUGUUAAACAUUUCUGAAACAUUCCUCUUCCAUUUAUUCUGUGAUUUUCUUCAGAAACACAAGGCGUGCACGAGUCAGCUUAUCAGCUUAUCCUUCACCCACACGUAGGCUCUUCUUUCCAAUCAAUUUUAUCUUUGUUUUUUUCUAAGAAAAUUUUAGGGAUUUUACUUGUUUUUGUUUUGUUUUUGGGUUUUUUUGUGUGUUUUGUUGUUGUUAUUUUGUUUUUUUUUUUUUUUGGUGGGGGGUUGGCUUGGUUUGGUUUUUGCUUCAUUUUUUAAUUUUAGGGAUUUUUAAAAAGCCAGCAUUCCUUAAUCUUCUGAUUGUUGUGUGACUGUUGUAUAAUAUUGAGAAAUACAUUCCUGUCAUCCACAACUAACAACCAUUAAUAAUGUGUCGUAUUGUUUACUUUUUUGUUUUUAACUAAAUUUUGCUUUGGGGAAGUAUCCAUGACGAUACAAUAUAGCUGUGAGAUAUUUCCUGUACCUGCUACGUAACACCCCUUCAUGUAAAACGCAGAGCAUUUGGUUUAUCCACAUCCCCCCGCCCCCCGCCCAUGCAUAUUAGUGGUUUCCAGUGCUAAAGGGACAGCGCCCCCCACGUGCAUUUCUCCAGGUACUGAGGCAGGAGAAUAGGGGCUGGAGGCAGGGGACCAAAGGCUGUUUCACUCAGACUUCCUACAACUAAAUUGAAAGGAAAACCCUAACUUUCCACUCCUAAGUAACAAAAGGACCAGAGGCUAUUCCCUUUCUAAACCCCCCCACCUUUUCCUCGAGGCAAAUGGGAAAUUGGCUGUCCGCAACCAAUCAGACUGAUUGUGGGUGGAGUCUUCGUUUGCACCUCUGUACCUUCGCUCCAGUCUCUGAACGGUUGCUGUCCACAACGAAUCAGACUGAUUGCGGGCUCAGCCUUCGUUUGCAUAGAAGUAUAACUUUGUAACUUCACCCUAGCCUCUGACUGGUUGCUUUUGGCACCUUCAUUUACAUGAGGUGAGCAUGAUGUGGCCAAUUGGAAACUUCUAGGGGAUAUUUGGACCCAAGAAGAUCCUGUAUCCAGGCCCUUGAGCCGCUGCUCGGGUCCGCUCCCAUACUGUGGAGUGUACUUUGGUUUUCAAUAAAUUCCUGCUUUCGUUCUUUUGCUGCUUCAUUCUUUCUUUGCUUUGUUGGGCGUUUUGUCCAAUUCUUUGUUCAAAAUGCCAAGAACCUGGACAAGUUGCAGUUAUGACCCUCGACCGGUGAUAGUAGCACUCGCUCCUAACAGCUUGGCUGCAGUAAGCCUAGGCUUCCAGGGAGAGCCUCUGCACCUGCUGCUGUGCUGCUUGAGUUCUCUCAGACAAGGAAGCAUGAAAAGGGCUGCCUUUUUCAAACAGCAGGGGAAGGAAAACACAGUGAUAACAAAUCCAAAUAUUAUUUCAAUUGAGAUCUUAUCAUAU
rnacentral:lncRNA from 1 species